UUUAGGUGUUUUUAGUGUGUUGCUAAGCAGUUGCUAGGGUACUGUGGGGGGUUGUCUCUGGAUGUGUCUCGUGUCUGUGAGUGUUUGUUCAGAUCACAAUAAUACUAACUGUGAUGCUCUUAUAGCAAAAAAACACCAAAAAUUGACUGGCAAAAUGCAUAAUUUCAGUGCUCUGUAAAUCAUUUUUUUAGCAUUAUUGCCAAGUAAGUAGUCUAACUCAACUCUAACUCGUUUCUCAAAGGAGAGCAUCGUGACUGCCGCGGCACUUCCUGUGAUGACUGACGAUUUCAGCGAGAUUCUGAACUCCUGCGGCGCCAGAGUGCAAUCUAGGACAGAGCCUUGCAAACAUUAUACUCUCCCGUCAGGGCUUUUUUUCCUUUUGUGCAGUUGCCUUUUCUUUCUUAUGCAGCGUUCUGGCUGAGGAUCCUCCCGCGCUCUGAUCUGAUCCAUUCUCAACAGGGUUUCUGCUCCACCGGAGGCUGUGAAGCUGUCCUCACUCAAGGUUGAUUACGUAAUAUCAAAGAGCUGGCGCUAGGAACCAAGCGGCGUUUUUAUUUUGACACAGAGCGACCUAAAUUCACCCCGCACCGCAGAACGAGGUAGAGCGCCGCUGCAGCGCGGUGCAAAUCGGGUUAUGUAAGGUCAGACGGUCAUCUAUUAAGAGGUUUCAGGGGUGUAACUGCUUUAAAAGACAGAUCCCAGGCCGGAGUCUGCCAAAAUCCACCACAGUAUUUAUAGGACGAUUUACAACAUUUGAAAGGCUUUGGGGCUGGAGAAAAAUGCAGCAAAAACUCAUCUGUAAAAUCUUGUUGUGCUGUCGCAGUCGAAGGGCCUCUUUCGAACAAGAAAAGCCAGUUAUAAUCUUUCUUCAAAGUGUUUGCCAGCUGUGUUUUCUGUAACAAAUAUGGCCAACACUAACAGAUCGCUGCUCUCAAGUAUUAUAAAUCUCGUUAGUGUUCACCUGCAUAUACAGCUGUCCACUCGCGCACUGCAUCUGCAUCACUGCUGAUCUCUGACGUCCAGCGAGGGCUUGAAAGCACCUUGAGAUCCACGCAGGCUCUGUUGUUUGUUGUGCAGCAGGACUGGAGUGAACACACAGGAGUAAAGCAGCGCUGAAACCCGGGAACGAGGGCAGUCGCUGUGUUUUCUGGGUGAAUGACCCGCAUUAUUGACUACAGUACCAAAGG